rnacentral:rRNA from 1 species
GUACACUCCUGCGGGAGGCAGCAGUGGGGAACAUUGGACAAUGGGCGCAAGCCUGAUCCAGCCAUGCCGCGUGAGUGAUGAAGGCCCUAGGGUUGUAAAGCUCUUUCACCGGUGAAGAUAAUGACGGUAACCGGAGAAGAAGCCCCGGCUAACUUCGUGCCAGCAGCCGCGGUAAUACGAAGGGGGCUAGCGUUGUUCGGAUUUACUGGGCGUAAAGCGCACGUAGGCGGACUAUUAAGUCAGGGGUGAAAUCCCGGGGCUCAACCCCGGAACUGCCUUUGAUACUGGUAGUCUUGAGUUCGAGAGAGGUGAGUGGAAUUCCGAGUGUAGAGGUGAAAUUCGUAGAUAUUCGGAGGAACACCAGUGGCGAAGGCGGCUCACUGGCUCGAUACUGACGCUGAGGUGCGAAAGCGUGGGGAGCAAACAGGAUUAGAUACCCCAGUAGUCCCAUG